CUUCUCCUUUUCUUCUUCUCUUCCUUCUUCUUCCACGUCUUUUCUUUCUUCUUCUGGGUUUUUUCUUCUUUUGACAGCAAGGGUUGCUGCUGCGGGGGCAGACUGCUGGGGCACGGGCUGCAAGUGCUUGGCGGGGUAGCUGCAAGUGCUUGGGCUGCUGGGGGCAGGACGCAGGGAGCAGCAGGAAGUUGCGGCAGGAGGUAUGGCAGUGGGCUGCAGGCUUGCGGCAGGAGGCUGCUUGGAUCUGCAAGGCGCGGGGAUGGUUUAGCAGGCGAGGAGUUGCGCGGGGGCAGUGGGCUGGGAUACAGAUAGAGAUGGAGGCUGGUGAUGUGCGCGGCUGGUGUGCAGCGCGGGCUGGCUGGAGGCUGCGGCUGAAUUUGGUUAGAACUCGUGCUGAUAACGUGUUGUAG
rnacentral:lncRNA from 1 species